UGGGGAAUAUUGGACAAUGGGGGCAACCCUGAUCCAGCCAUGCCGCGUGAGUGAAGAAGGCCUUAGGGUUGUAAAGCUCUUUCAGUCGUGACGAUGAUGACGGUAGCGACAGAAGAAGCCCCGGCUAACUCCGUGCCAGCAGCCGCGGUAAUCCGGAGGGGGCAAGCGUUGAUCGCAUUUACUGGGCGUAAAGGGCGCGUAGGCGGGGUAUCCAGUUAGGGGUGAAAGCCCGGGGCUCAACCUCGGAUCUGCCUUUAAAACUGAUACUCUAGAGUCCGGAAGAGGGUCGCAGAAUUCCCAGUGUAGAGGUGAAAUUCGUAGAUAUUGGGUGGAACACCAGUGGCGAAAGCGGCUCUCUGGUCCGGAUCUGACGCUGAGGCGCGAAAGCGUGGGGAGCAAACAGGAUUAGAUACCCGGGUAGUCC
rnacentral:rRNA from 1 species